UAGCUCAUUUGGUAGAGCAUGGUGUUUGCAACGCCAGGGUUGUGGGUUCGAUUCCCAC
rnacentral:tRNA from 1 species